rnacentral:rRNA from 1 species
GUCUACAUCCCUACCACUCUGAACACACCCUAUCUCAUCUGAUCUUGGAUGCUAAGCAGGGUCAGGCCUGGUUAGUACUUGGAUAAAAUAUAGAUCCUUCAAAAGAGAGUGCUCAGAGACAAGCAGUUUGGAGACA